AACCGAGAACUCCUACGGGAGGCAGCAGUGGGGAAUAUUGGUCAAUGGGCGAAAGCCUGAUCCAGCCAUGCCGCGUGUGUGAAGAAGGCCUUUUGGUUGUAAAGCACUUUAAGCGAGGAGGAGGCUACUUGGAUUAAUACACUAGGAUAGUGGACGUUACUCGCAGAAUAAGCACCGGCUAACUCCGUGCCAGCAGCCGCGGUAAUACAGAGGGUGCGAGCGUUAAUCGGAUUUACUGGGCGUAAAGCGUGCGUAGGCGGCUUUUUAAGUCGGAUGUGAAAUCCCUGAGCUUAACUUAGGAAUUGCAUUCGAUACUGGGAAGCUAGAGUAUGGGAGAGGAUGGUAGAAUUCCAGGUGUAGCGGUCAAAUGCGUAGAGAUCUGGAGGAAUACCGAUGGCGAAGGCAGCCAUCUGGCCUAAUACUGACGCUGAGGUACGAAAGCAUGGGGAGCAAACAGGAUUAGAUACCCGGGUAGUCCGACUGAGA
rnacentral:rRNA from 1 species